UUAAUUAAGUACACUGCCAACACAAAUAUCCCCUUCGAGUUCAACCUAUCAUUUCUCAACUUAAUUUUGUACCAUAAUCUAGAAUACAAUGUAUACAUUGAACAUCACACAUGUAGGGUAAUUAAAGUUUCAUCAUAAUAUAUCUCAACAAUACAUCAUGUUUGCAUACAUACAUAGGUAUACAUUUGUAGGUUCACAAGUCCAGUACUACAUCACAUCAUACAUACAUAGAUAUACAUUUAGUACUACAUCACAACAUACAUACAUACAAAUACAUUUGUAGGCUCACAAGUUCAGUACUACCUCACAGCCAAAAGGGCAACAAUCCAUCAUGCAUACAUACAUACAUGGGAAUAUGUCCUGCAAAUGUAACAUCACGAAAUAUAACAUCUGAUUUCAGUUAGAUACCGAUCCAUCCUAGAGUGCUACUUCAUCAGGUAGAUAUUAAAAUGUACAAAAACUUACUUCGAUUCUAGCAAUAGAUCCUUUUAGCUUGCAAAACACACGUCUCUAAAAUUGUGAGUGCAAGAGUAGUACACAGUAACCUGAAAAAAAGAAGCAACCAAUUACGACAUCUCACAAGUAUUUAUGUUCCAGAAUAGCUUGCACAUACCAAUCAGAUCAGUCACCAAACCUUCGUCUUGGAAAAAUACACACAAGAAAGCAAGAAACACACCAACGCGAGGGGGCCAAUUUUUUCCAAGGCCACACAACUCGUCGAGUCCUAAAAUGCACUAAUGCUUCUUCACAUAAAAAAUCCAUAUUUUUCAAGAUAACAAUCAUGUAAACAUGGGAUAGAUGGUAUGCAAACCCAAACUAACACUAGAAAGAUCAAGUACUGUAGUAUUAGAGACAAUAAAUGUUAUGUUAAUCCUAACCAGGUGCCAACAUACUAAACCACCUACAAUAAUUGCACUGUAAUAGUAACCCUUUAUCAUAAAAAGUCAAUAUAGAACUUACAAAAAUUAAUCUAGCAAUAGCAACAUGAGGCAGCAAUACUUCAUGCUCCUCAAAGCCCUAGUGCAUGCUGGCGAGAGGAAGCCAAUCUUGGUGUCCAUCCUCACCAUGCACCUGGAGCAUUUUUUCCUUUUCUGGAAAAAAUAAGAACAAAUAUGAUAGUUUUACUCUAGUAGCAACUCACCAUUUUCCUUUAGUAGUGAGCCAAAAAAGCACCCUCUUGACGGUGACGCUGACCCCAAUAACAUCCGCUUCCGCUCCCUUCAAGCACAAGAGUUUUCUUUCCAUUCCGUCUUGUACCAUAUUUCGCCACUACAACUGCAUCACAUCAUUAAAAGGCAUAUCACUUUCAUAAUAGCAAGAUAAAAGAACUUUACGAACCAUGUAUAUAGAGUCAUAAUAGCAAAACACACAAGCCAGUCUAAGAAGCAUGCAUGUUAUCUGUGCAUUACCUCUUAUUCUAAAACAAAUCAUGUUAUUUAUACUAAUCACAUCAAUUCAUUACGCUUAUUCCAGAGCUUGUCAUGUUAAAUGUAGAUAAUUUAAUGAGAUCAUGUACUUUCAGGGAGGGGGCAAACUACAAAAUCAUGUAUCCAAACAUCAGGUAUGCCAUGCAGUUUUACAAGCUCCCGACCAUCUUAUUUACACAAUGAAAGCAACACGACAUCUCAGUAUCCCACAAACACACCAUGGCACAAAAUGUGUCAUUAAGUAUAACUAAAGAACUGCAUUUGAGAGCAAAAUAUUUAUGCUAGCUAACUCUAACUCAAUUGACAAAAAGUCAUCUGGCCACAUCGGCAUUUUCCAGUACCAGCUUCUAGUCAGAGCAAACUUUAUCCACGCAUUUCUGAACAACCAAAAAUAGCAGCCCACAAAGACCCGGAUUCGGUCACAUCUAUUGGCUCCCUGCAUAUGCAGAAUUGCAAAGCUUCUAGACAGAGCAAACUUGAGCCAUGCAUUUCUGAACAACCAAGAAUAGCAGACCCACAAAAGCCCAUAUUCAGUCACAUCUAUUGGCUCUCUGUAUAUGCAGAAUUGUAAGAAAAAUAUCUGAACAACAACUAGAAUUAUUAUUUGUUCUAAGGCAACGAAGCCAGAAUUGAAAGGACUUUCAUCACUGCAGAAAUUCUAAACAGGACAUAUGAAUUUGAUUGAUUAAGCUAUAGCUGUAGUGGGGAUUUGAUUUAAAUAAGAAGCAAAGAGAGGCUAAAACAGAACACAUGCAUUUAGUACAGAGUUAUCAUCCAGCAAAUUUCUCCAGAAUAAACUUUAUUUGAACCACUCAGUUUGCAUAACAGAGGAACAAAAAGGUAGAAGAGGGAGUAGCGUACAGACACAUGCUGAGGAAAGCAGAAUAAUAGAGAGGUGGUGGGCGCCAGACCUGUAGGACAGCCCGCGGUGGCGGGGGCACACCAUAGGCAACGAGAUUUGAACGGCAGGUAAGGCCAGGCUCACCCCACCAGCGCAGCGGCUAUGGUGAACGAACCUGCUGCCGCAAUAUCGAUUGUGUGCUGUGGACGGAGGCGAGAUCGCCAGGCGGUUCGCGGAGGUCGCCUCCAAAUUCGCCGUUGACCUCCGACGAUGGCGUGGAUGGGGUAUGCGAAGACGGUGGCAUGGGUGGGGGAUGCGAGGGCGGUGGCAGCGGCGUGGGUGGGGGAUCCGGGGCGGCAACAUUGGGAGGCAGCGGUGCUGCUUGUAGCGCGAUGACCAUGUCGAUGGAGAGUGCGGCGGCUGAGGGAAUGAGAGGUGGGGAAUGGAUGCGGCGAAGGUUAGGGUUGCGUGGUGCUUCCAGUGACUUCU
rnacentral:lncRNA from 1 species